GGUUAAGCGACUAAGCGUACACGGUGGAUGCCCUGGCAGUCAGAGGCGAUGAAGGACGUGCUAAUCUGCGAUAAGCGUCGGUAAGGUGAUAUGAACCGUUAUAACCGGCGAUUUCCGAAUGGGGAAACCCAGUGUGUUUCGACACACUAUCAUUAACUGAAUCCAUAGGUUAAUGAGGCGAACCGGGGGAACUGAAACAUCUAAGUACCCCGAGGAAAAGAAAUCAACCGAGAUUCCCCCAGUAGCGGCGAGCGAACGGGGAGCAGCCCAGAGCCUGAAUCAGUGUGUGUGUUAGUGGAAGCGUCUGGAAAGGCGCGCGAUACAGGGUGACAGCCCCGUACACAAAAAUGCACAUGCUGUGAGCUCGAUGAGUAGGGCGGGACACGUGGUAUCCUGUCUGAAUAUGGGGGGACCAUCCUCCAAGGCUAAAUACUCCUGACUGACCGAUAGUGAACCAGUACCGUGAGGGAAAGGCGAAAAGAACCCCGGCGAGGGGAGUGAAAAAGAACCUGAAACCGUGUACGUA
rnacentral:rRNA from 1 species